rnacentral:rRNA from 1 species
ACUCAAAGGAAUAGACGGGCACCCGCACAAGCGGUGGAGCAUGCUGUUUAAUUCGACGAUACGCGAAGAACCUUACCUGGACUUGACAUCCCCUGCGAAGCUAUAGAGAUAUAGUGGAGGUUAUCAGGGUGACAGGUGGUGCAUGGUUGUCGUCAGCUCGUGUCGUGAGAUGUUGGGUUAAGUCCCGCAACGAGCGCAACCCCUAUCCUUAGUUGCUAACAUUUAGUUGAGAACUUUAAGGAGACUGCCGGUGAUAAACCGGAGGAAGGUGGGGAUGACGUCAAAUCAUCAUGCCCCUUACGUCCAGGGCUACAGGCGUGCUACAAUGGCUAGUAUAAUGAGAAGCAAGACCGCGAGGUGGAGCAAAUCUAUAAAGCUAGUCUCAGUUCGGAUUGGAGUCUGCAACUCGACUCCAUGAAGUUGGAAUCGCUAGUAAUCGUAGAUCAGAAUGCUACGGUGAAUACGUUCCCGGGUGUUGUACACACCGCCCGU